CACGAACGCUGGCGGCAGGCCUAACACAUGCAAGUCGAGCGAGGACUUCGGUCCUAGCGGCGGACGGGUGAGUAACGCGUGGGAACGUGCCCUUUGCUACGGAAUAGCCCUGGGAAACUGGGAGUAAUACCGUAUGAGCCCUUUGGGGGAAAGAUUUAUCGGCAAAGGAUCGGCCCGCGUUGGAUUAGGUAGUUGGUGGGGUAAUGGCCUACCAAGCCGACGAUCCAUAGCUGGUUUGAGAGGAUGAUCAGCCACACUGGGACUGAGACACGGCCCAGACUCCUACGGGUGGCAGCAGUGGGGAAUCUUAGACAAUGGGCGCAAGCCUGAUCUAGCCAUGCCGCGUGAGCGAUGAAGGCCUUAGGGUUGUAAAGCUCUUUCAGUGGGGAAGAUAAUGACGGUACCCACAGAAGAAGCCCCGGCUAACUCCGUGCCAGCCGCCGCUGUAACAC
rnacentral:rRNA from 1 species